AGUGAACGCUGGCGGUAGGCCUAACACAUGCAAGUCGAACGGCAGCACAGUAAGAGCUUGCUCUUACGGGUGGCGAGUGGCGGACGGGUGAGGAAUACAUCGGAAUCUACUUUUUCGUGGGGGAUAACGUAGGGAAACUUACGCUAAUACCGCAUACGACCUACGGGUGAAAGCAGGGGAUCUUCGGACCUUGCGGGAUUGAAUGAGCCGAUGUCGGAUUAGCUAGUUGGCGGGGUAAAGGCCCACCAAGGCGACGAUCCGUAGCUGGUCUGAGAGGAUGAACAGCCACACUGGAACUGAGACGCGGUCCAGACUCCUACGGGAGGCAGCAGUGGGGAAUAUUGGACAAUGGGCGCAAGCCUGAUCCAGCCAUACCGCGUGGGUGAAGAAGGCCUUCGGGUUGUAAAGCCCUUUUGUUGGGAAAGAAAAGCAGCAGGUUAAUACCACGCUGUUCUGACGGUACCCAAAGAAUAAGCACCGGCUAACUUCGUG
rnacentral:rRNA from 1 species